ACGCUCGACACCUACGGGGGCAGCAGUGGGGAAUAUUGCACAAUGGGGGAAACCCUGAUGCAGCGACGCCGCGUGAGCGAAGAAGUAUUUCGGUAUGUAAAGCUCUAUCAGCAGGGAAGAAAAUGACGGUACCUGACUAAGAACGCCCCGGCUAACUACGUGCGCNGCGCGUAGUAUNGNGGCGGNGNGAGAG
rnacentral:rRNA from 1 species